rnacentral:rRNA from 1 species
GCUUAACACAUGCAAGUCGAGGGGCAGCAUGGUCUUAGCUUGCUAAGGCUGAUGGCGACCGGCGCACGGGUGAGUAACACGUAUCCAACCUGCCGUCUACUCUUGGCCAGCCUUCUGAAAGGAAGAUUAAUCCAGGAUGGCAUCAUGAGUUCACAUGUCCGCAUGAUUAAAGGUAUUUUCCGGUAGACGAUGGGGAUGCGUUCCAUUAGAUAGUAGGCGGGGUAACGGCCCACCUAGUCAACGAUGGAUAGGGGUUCUGAGAGGAAGGUCCCCCACAUUGGAACUGAGACACGGUCCAAACUCCUACGGGAGGCAGCAGUGAGGAAUAUUGGUCAAUGGGCGAUGGCCUGAACCAGCCAAGUAGCGUGAAGGAUGACUGCCCUAUGGGUUGUAAACUUCUUUUAUAAAGGAAUAAAGUCGGGUAUGCAUACCCGUUUGCAUGUACUUUAUGAAUAAGGAUCGGCUAACUCCGUGCCAGCAGCCGCGGUAAUACGGAGGAUCCGAGCGUUAUCCGGAUUUAUUGGGUUUAAAGGGAGCGUAGGUGGAUGUUUAAGUCAGUUGUGAAAGUUUGCGGCUCAACCGUAAAAUUGCAGUUGAUACUGGAUGUCUUGAGUGCAGUUGAGGCAGGCGGAAUUCGUGGUGUAGCGGUGAAAUGCUUAGAUAUCACGAAGAACUCCGAUUGCGAAGGCAGCCUGCUAAGCUGCAACUGACA